rnacentral:rRNA from 1 species
UGAGGAAUAUUGGUCAAUGGGGGCAACCCUGAACCAGCCAAGUCGCGUGAAGGAUGAAGGUCUUAUGGAUUGUAAACUUCUUUUACACGGGAAUAAAGUGGGGGACGUGUCCCCCUUUGCAUGUACCGUGUGAAUAAGGAUCGGCUAACUUCGUGCCAGCAGCCGCGGUAAUACGGAGGAUCCGAGCGUUAUCCGGAUUUAUUGGGUUUAAAGGGUGCGCAGGCGGGAUGUUAAGUCGGCGGUGAAAUUUUGCAGCUCAACUGUAGAAGUGCCUUCGAUACUGGCCUCCUUGAGUGCGGAUGAAGUAGGCGGAAUUUGUGGUGUAGCGGUGAAAUGCUUAGAUAUCGCGAGGAACUCCGAUUGCGCAGGCAGCUUACUAAGCCACAACUGACGCUCAUGCACGAAGGCGUGG